UACGACGGGUGCAAGCGUUAGUCGGAAUUACUGGGCGUAAAGCGUGCGUAGGUGGUUUCUUAAGUCCGUUGUGAAAGCCCCGGGCUCAACCUGGGAAUGGCAGUGGAUACUGAGAGGCUAGAGUGUGUCAGAGGAUGGUGGAAUUCCCGGUGUAGCGGUGAAAUGCGUAGAGAUCGGGAGGAACAUCAGUGGCGAAGGCGGCCAUCUGGGACAACACUGACGCUGAGGCACGAAAGCGUGGGGAGCAAACAGG
rnacentral:rRNA from 1 species